rnacentral:lncRNA from 1 species
CUUGGCGACCAGAGCCAAAGCCAGAGUAUCAGCUGGUCCUUCACUCAGGAUACGCACGAUGGCUCCACCUACACCACCUUCAAGUUCCCCAACCUCCACCUCAGUCGGGACGAGAUUCGUAACGCCACCAGCCUUUGCAUCGUCCUCUCCGACAGCUGCGCCAAGCUAGAGAACUUCUGUUACGACGGCAAAGACAACCAGUGCCGCGUAACGUUCUUCAGCGAGGAUGAAAGCUG